AUUGAACGCUGGCGGCAGGCCUAACACAUGCAAGUCGAGCGGAUGAAGGGAGCUUGCUCCUGGAUUCAGUGGCGGACGGGUGAGUAAUGCCUAGGAAUCUGCCUGGUAGUGGGGGAUAACGUCCGGAAACGGGCGCUAAUACCGCAUACGUCCUGAGGGAGAAAGUGGGGGAUCUUCGGACCUCACGCUAUCAGAUGAGCCUAGGUCGGAUUAGCUAGUUGGUGGGGUAAAGGCCUACCAAGGCGACGAUCCGUAACUGGUCUGAGAGGAUGAUCAGUCACACUGGAACUGAGACACGGUCCAGACUCCUACGGGAGGCAGCAGUGGGGAAUAUUGGACAAAGGGCGAAAGCCUGAUCCAGCCAUGCCGCGUGUGUGAAGAAGGUCUUCGGAUUGUAAAGCACUUUAAGUUGGGAGGAAGGGCAGUAAGUUAAUACCUUGCUGUUUUGACGUUACCAACAGAAUAAGCACCGGCUAACUUCGUG
rnacentral:rRNA from 1 species